rnacentral:rRNA from 1 species
CCUACGGGAGGCAGCAGUGGGGGAUAUUGGACAAUGGGGGGAACCCUGAUCCAGCGAAGCAGCGUGAGUGAAGACGUAUUUCGGUAUGUAAAACUCUGUCAGAAGAGAAGAAAGAAAUGACAGUACCUGACCAAGAAGCCCCGGCUAACUACGAGCAAGCGGCCGCGGUAAUACGUAGGGGGCAAGCGUUAUCCGGAUUUACUGGGUGUAAAGGGAGCGUAGACGGUUAAGUAAGUCUGGAGUGAAAGGCCGGGGCCCAACCCCGGUACUGCUCUGGAAACUAUUGAACUUGAGUGCAGGUGAGGUAAGCGGAAUUCGUAGUGUAGCGGUGAAAUGCGUAGAUAUUAGGAGGAACACCAGUGGCGAAGGCGGCUUACUGGACUGUAACUGACGUUGAGGCUCGAAAGCGUGGGGAGCAAACAGGAUUAGAUACCCCUGUAGUC